GCGCCCGUAGCUCAGCGGAUAGAGCAGGAGACUUCUAAUCUCAAGGCCGCAGGUUCGAAUCCUGCCGGGCGCACCC
rnacentral:tRNA from 1 species